CUGCCAUUAAAGAGAAGCUGGAGGAUGCUGAUGAACGUUUGGGAGCUGACAUAGUGCAGAAGGCUUUGGUGGCACCAGCUGCGCUUAUUGCGCAGAACGCUGGAAUCGAAGGAGAAGUGGUAGUGGAGAAGAUUAUGUUCAGUGAAUGGGAGAUAGGG